rnacentral:rRNA from 1 species
AUUGAACGCUGGCGGCAUGCCUUACACAUGCAAGUCGAACGGCAGCAUGGAGAGCUUGCUCUCUGAUGGCGAGUGGCGAACGGGUGAGUAAUGCAUCGGAACGUACCGUGUAAUGGGGGAUAACGUAGCGAAAGUUACGCUAAUACCGCAUACGACCUGAGGGUGAAAGCAGGGGAUCGCAAGACCUUGCGUUAUACGAGCGGCCGAUGUCAGAUUAGCUAGUUGGUGAGGUAAAGGCUCACCAAGGCGACGAUCUGUAGCGGGUCUGAGAGGGUGAGCCGCCACACUGGGACUGAGACACGGCCCAGACGCCUACGGGAGGCAGCAGUGGGGAAUUUUGGACAAUGGGGGCAACCCUGAUCCAGCCAUGCCGCGCGAGUGAAGAAGGCCUUCGGGUUGUAAAGCUCUUUCGGCCGGGAAGAAAUCGCACAGGCUAAUACUCUGUGUGGAUGACGGUACCGGCAUAAGAAGCACCGGCUAACUACGUGCCAGCAGCCGCCGUAA